CCUACGGGAGGCUGCAGUGAGGAAUAUUGGUCAAUGGGCGGGAGCCUGAACCAGCCAAGUCGCGUGAGGGAAGACGGUCCUAUGGAUUGUAAACCUCUUUAGGCGGGGAGCAAUGCCGGGCACGCGUGCCCGGAGGGAGAGUACCCGCAGCAUACGCAUCGGCUAACUCCGUGCCAGCAGCCGCGGUAAUACGGAGGAUGCGAGCGUUAUCCGUAUUUAGUGGGUUUAAUGGAUGCGUAGGCGGAUUUUUAAGUCAGCGGUAAAAUGUCCGGGCUCAACCCGGGCCGGCCGUUGAAACUGGGGAUCUUGAGUGGGCGAGAAGUAUGCGGAAUGCGUGGUGUAGCGGUGAAAUGCAUAGAUAUCACGCAGAACUCCGAUUGCGAAGGCAGGAUACCGGCGCCCGACUGACGCUGAGGCACGAAAGCGUGGGGAUCGAACAGGAUUAGAUACCCCGGUAGUC
rnacentral:rRNA from 1 species